rnacentral:rRNA from 1 species
GAUGAACGCUGGCGGCGUGCCUAACACAUGCAAGUCGAACGAAGCACCUUACCUGAUUCUUCGGAUGAAAGUUUGGUGACUGAGUGGCGGACGGGUGCGUAACGCGUGGGUAACUUGCGCUGUAUAGGGGGGUAACAGCUGGAAACGGCUGCUAAUACCGCAUAAGCGCACGACGAGACAUCUCCUUGUGUGAAAAUCUCCGGUGGUACAGGAUGGGCUCGCGUCGGAUUCGCUGGUUGGCAGGGUAACGGCCUACCAAGGGAACGAUCAGUAGCCGGUCUGAGAGGAAGAGCGGACACAUUGGAACUGAGACACGGUCCAAACUCCUACGGGAGGCAGCCGUGGGGAAUAUUGCAAAAUGGGGUGAACCCUGAUGCAGCUACGGCGGGUGAGUGAAGAAGUAUGUAGGUAAGUAAAGCACUAUCAGCAGGGAAGAUAAUGACGGUACCUGAAGAAGAAGCACCGGCUAAAUACGUG